CAACUUUCAACAAUGGAUCUCUUGGCUCUCGCAUCGAUGAAGAACGCAGCGA
rnacentral:rRNA from 1 species